AAUAAAUAAAUAAAUAAAACACACAAACAACAUUAUCUGAGCCCUUCGAAGUCGUUGCACUUCCACUCCAUAUAUGAUAUCAAGCCCAAAGUUUCAAAUAUUGUCACCCAAUUUAAUUUGCCUAAUAAAUGGAAAAUUCCCAUCCAAAAGCGCUUUCUUCGUCUCCAUGGCUUCUCCAAGCCGUGGUUCCAUCCAUACUUCUCUCACCACCUACUCCCAUCUCCUCAGCCUUCUACGGAAUACGAAAGCUCGCCGAUCUUUAUGCGCGGGAAAGAUUGCUCACGCCUGGAUUCUACGAUCCAGGUCGGAACGUAAUCUUAUUCUUCUCAACAAUCUCCUCCAUUUGUACUGGAUCUGCGGUUCUCCGCGAUGUGCACUCCACUUGUUUGACACAAUGUCUGUGAGGGAUGUAGUUUCUUGGAACACCAUGAUUUCCGGCUCUGUCGGGUUGGGACUUUACUCGGAUGGGUUCCACUUCUUCUGUGAGAUGUUGCGUGCUGGAAUGCCCCUGACUCAAUCGAGUUUCGUGUCCGCGCUUGUUGCUUCAGCUGAGAUGGCCAGCGCCAAUUGUCUGCGGCAAGUUCAUGUCUCCAGUUUAAAGCUUGGAUUUUUAUCGGAUUGUUGUGUUGGGAAUGCACUAUUGAAAGGCUAUGCCAACUUCGGAGGAGUUGUUGACUUGAGAAAGUUGUCCGAAGGGACAAGGGUUCUGGAUGAUAUUUCUGUUGAGAUCUUGCUGAGAGGCUAUGCUCAACAUGGAGCAUUUAGUGAUGCUUUGAAGCUAUUUAAAUCGUGUAUUCGAGAUCACGUAACAUUUAGCAGCUAUGCAUUUUCGAGCUUAUUAAGUCUUUGUGCCUCCUCAGGUUUGGUUGAUUGUGCAGUUCAAUUUCAUGCCAGUGUUGUUAAGGUUGGUUUGGACAUGGAUGUUUCUGUGGUUAAUUCGCUUAUCAUGAUGUAUUCAAGAUCGUGUAAUCUCGAGGAUGCAGAGCAAUUAUUUAAUUGGUGUAAUUCGCGGGAUAUUGUCACAUGGAACUCUUUGAUUAGCGGGCUUGCUUACAAUAGCAGGGGAGAUGCCGGUAUUGCUCUUGUUCAAAGGAUGUUAUUAUCCGGAAUGCAAAUGAAUGAGUCGUCCUUUUGGAGCUUUCUUUCCUGCUGUGCAUCUAUCACUAAUCUUGAGAAUGCGAGGAGAGCUCAUGUUCAAGUGUUGAAACUGAGAGGACUAGUAGAUCAAGGCACGGAUAAUAUCAUACUGACAAUGUAUUGUAAAAGCAAAGGCUUAAAGUAUGCAGAGAAUGUCUUUGAAAGCAUGGAAGGCCAGGAUAAUGUGUCAUUUAAUCUGAUGAUGAGUUUAUAUCGGAGCUGUGGCUAUUUUACUGAGUCUGUCGAGCUAUUUCUCUUGGCCCAUGAAGAGGGUCAUUGGCUAAACGAAGCAGUGCUAUCGGGUGUCAUUUGUAGCUGUUCAGUACUUAAUCUUCUCGAUUUAGGAGAACAAGCUCAUGGGUCCAUUACAAAAGCAGGUUUUGGGAACUUCCCUUUUGUGGCAAACUCUAUUCUAGAGAUGUAUUCUCAAGAUGGUAGAAUUGAUGAGAUGGAACAGAUAUUUUAUGACAUAGCCAAACCAGAUAUUUUCUCAUGGAACACAUUGUUUAUGUGUUAUGCAAGUUUUGGAUUAAUUAACAAAGUAUGUGAAAUUUGGCAGAAAAUGGAAGACUUAGGAGUUAAUCCCAACGAAUUCUCGUACUCAGCUUUACUUGCUGUGUGUAGUAGUGCUGCUACAUUAUUUAUUGGCAGGCAAGUCCAUGCUAGUAUCCUGAAAAUGGGGCUAUUGUUCGAUGUUGCUUUGAUGAAUUCUCUAAUCACAAUGUACUCCAAUUGUCAUACAAUGAAGGAAGCUCUCGCUGUAUUUAAGGAAAUCUCUUUACCCGAUAAUAUAUCAUGGAAUGCCAUGGUUUCAGGAUAUGCACAAAAUGGGCUUGCUGAAGAAUCUGUAAAAUUUUACAUAAUAAUGAAUAGAAGUGGUGCAAAAGCUAAUUACUCGACCUAUGCAAGCGUUUGCAUGGCUUGCGCGACACUCUCGGAGUUCAGGUUGGGUUCGCAAUUUCAUGUUCAGGCCAUCAAAAGUGGAUGUGAGUCUGAUGUGCCACUUUCCAACUCGCUUGUCGCAAUGUAUGGUAAGUGCGGUCGAAUUGAUGACUCGUUCAAGAUAUUUCAGGGUACUGAAUCCAAAGAUGUUAUCACAUGGAACUCUUUAAUUUGCGCAUAUGCUCACAAUGGGCUUGCGAGCAAAGCGAUUGACGUCUUUGAGGAAAUGAAGCUUUCAGGGAUGGAGCCUAAUGGUGUGACAUUUGUUGGUGUUCUCUCAGCUUGCUGCAAUGCUGGUUUAGUAUCAGAAGCUUGGUAUUAUUUUAACUCCAUGCAUGAAAACUACGGCAUUACCCCUCUCGAAGAGCACUAUUCUUGCAUGGUCGACAUACUAUGUCGGGCUGGGAAGCUAGAAGAAGCGAAAGAUCUAAUCGACAGCAUGCCUUUCGAUCAAUGUUCGUUAGUUUGGCGGAUUCUGCUAAAUGCUUGUAAAGUCAAUGGAAAUCUCAUCCUUGGCAAGGUUGCUGCAAAAAGAAUUAUGCAAUUAGAGCCGCGAGAUUCGGCCUCAUACAUCCUCCUGUCUGAUACGUAUGGCUCCGUGGGCGACCGAGAAAACAAGGCUAGAGUGAGGAUGCUAAUGAAGGAUAUGGGGGUGAAGAAAACGGUCGGAUUCAGCUGGAUUUCGAGUUGAGGCUUUUGAGAUCUGAAUUGAUCUUCAACUGACCACAACCACUUCUCUUCAAGGGCAAUUCAUUAGCGGAGUAUACAGUUGAUGGCAGAAUCGUUGGUUGCGGCGGAGGACGAAACCACAGCACCACCUCCGCCUCUUCCGUCCACGGCGGCGGUGGCGGCGGAAUCCGGGAAUCCGGAGACGGAGGUCG